GACGAACGCUGGCGGCGUGCUUAACACAUGCAAGUCGAACGGAAAGGCCCUGCUUUUCUGGGGUGCUCGAGUGGCGAACGGGUGAGUAACACGUGAGUAACCUGCCCUUGACUUUGGGAUAACUUCAGGAAACUGGGGCUAAUACCGGAUAGGAGCUCCUGCUGCAUGGUGGGGGUUGGAAAGUUUCGGCGGUUGGGGAUGGACUCGCGGCUUAUCAGCUUGUUGGUUGGGUAGUGGCUUACCAAGGGUUUGACGGGUAGCCGGCCUGAGAGGGUGACCGGACAAAUUGGGACUGAGAUACGGCCCAGAAUCCAACGGGAGGCAGCAGUGGGGAAUAUUGCACAAUGGGCGGAAGCCUGAUGCAGCAACGCCGCGUGCGGGAUGACGGCCUUCGGGUUGUAAACCGAUUUCGCCUGUGACGAAGCGUGAGUGACGGUAAUGGGUAAAGAAGCACCGGCUAACUACGUG
rnacentral:rRNA from 1 species